ensembl:misc_RNA Metazoa_SRP Metazoan signal recognition particle RNA
GCUGGGCGUGGUGGCGCACGCCUGUAGUCCCAGCUACUCGGGAGGCUGAGGCAGGAGAAUCACUUGAACCUGGGAGACAGAGGUUGCAGUGAGCUGAAAUUGAGUCACUGCACCCCAGCCUGGGUGACAGAGCGAGACUCUGCCCCCG